GCUGCGCAGCCAUUCCCCCGCAGCGCACCCACCGGGGACUGCCCCCGCCAGGCGGGGCGAGGCCGAGCACGGGCCGCGGCUGACCGGUCACAGCCCUGUGUCCCCACGGCCGCCUGCGCUCAUCUUUUUCCUACUACGCAACGCCUCAGAUUGUUUAUGUACGUUGCGUUCCGUCACGCUGUUCCUUUCAGGUGGCUUCAACACGGUAUGAGGUCUACAGCACACCCAGCCCUGCAGAAGCUCCUGUCCAUCCUUCCACUCUUCUUGGGAAGAUACCCAUUGCAGCAGAUAGGAGUCUGAGCUCAGAAAAAUGAAGGAUGAAACCCACAACGUGCUCUGUCUUGCACUGUAGUUCACACGCCUGAGCUGGGAGCUCAACCUUUGUGCUACAAGGAAAUACAUGGAAAAAGGUCCAGAGUGAAAGUAGGGUGCUUCCAGAACAGAGGUGAAGCACCAAAGGGCUCCUGGGACCCCUUCAAGAGGAUUUGCCAGAGCAAGUUUCCCUCCUGACAGCAAUAAGAUGGGUAAGGCAGGGUUGAAUCCUGUGUCUGCGCAGUACCUGCAUGGGGGAAGGAGGAUGACCUAGUCCAUGACUAAGCCUCCCAGAGCAAGAAAACUCUUGGCACCAGAGCAUCUUCCCAAUCCACUUCACCUACCUAGAGUCCAACCCAGAGCUGCUUCUCUGGGAGCAGAGAUCCUGCCAAGGCACGUCAGCCCCAGCACACACUCCACUGCUGCCGUUCUGCUGAACUAUGUGGGGUUUAACUAACAGAUGUACUUCCCCUAGGACAGAGGUCUGACAGCCAAACUAAUUUUUCAUGGGCAAGUUAAUCUCACUUAAACCCUUAAUUUUCCCUGUUUAAUAGAGGUUGGUCAUGUUAGUCUUAACUCACAAUUAAAGCAGAAGUUACUAAUGCCACAAAAAAACACCCUCUUUUAAUUACUCUUUCCCCUCCCAUAUUCCAGCAACUACUUUUGCCUAAGUAGUAUCCUGGCAACGUAUCCAUGAUUUAGCUCUCAAGUUUUAGCAAUCAUUUACUGCUGUUCCACACAAAUUCUGCAUUCCCUCAUUUUUAUUACUGAGAAUUAUUCUAAAUUAGAAAUAGAGUAAAUAGAGUCAUGGAGUAAAGAGAAAAGCUGUGUGCCAGUGCCAAAUAAUUCUGCAAACAUCCCAACCAUAAACUUUUGCCUCUGUUUUUUCUGUCACAUAGGCUUUGUGUUUAAUUAUGGUUGAUGUUAUGAAGUUGCUAGGAAAUUACUGUCUCUGUGCUUAGAUUCUAUAUGGUGAUUCUGGCUACAAGAUAUUACUUUGUUCACUUUCUGUUUAAGGGUAAUUCUGACAUGGUUUUAUUAACCACACUCAAGUUUAGGUGUCACAUGCUAGUGUAAGAGAUAUGUGGUCCAGGUCAUAUUAAUUAGAGUGAAAGAGCUCAAGCAUGACUCAGGGCCCCCACAUGUUUUACCUUUCCCAGAUGGGAAGCCAGCUGACUCCCUCUAAGGCAGAAGAUGUAGAAGAAGCCAAAUACAUGGGCAAUAGGGAUCAGCUGGGACUUUGGGUUCCAGGAAGAGUUUAAGCCCAGAGGUAACAUGAGCCAGGGUACAAGAAUGCAUAUUCAAAUUGCUGUUUAUUCAGAAGCCUUUCAGUGUAUCCAUCUACGGUUCUCCAUGGCCAUAAGCAGUCUCACCAAGAUAGUAUAGUAUCAGCAGAAAAAAAACAUUAACUGACCAUGGCUGUUGUGCAGACUAAUGCCAGAAAUGUGUUCUGCAAAGACUUUAGAAAACAGAAGCCGCUGAAGAGGGCUGAACUAAGUGGAAAGAGUUAAUGGUGUUAAUCUGUGCAGGUUCUGAAGCAGCUAAGUGGUCUGCAAUUCAGGAAGCUGCUCAUUUCCAAAUCGUAUUGGGCAAAAAGACAGAUAUCAGCAGAGCCAGGGUCUCAAGUGGCAAGCUCACUGAAGCAGAGAGGGAAAAAAAGACCAGAUAGGUUGUUUAUGCCAUUUCAGUCUUAUUGUUUUGUCAAGAAAAAGACCCUUCAUACAAAGAAGUGUUUUCUAUGAGAGAAAUCAGGAACCCACAGAGGCAGCCAGUGAGUGGGUAACCCAGUUAUACCUAUUAAUACAAGACAGCUAUUUCACUGAUAAAUGUGACAUGAUGAUGAUAAAAAUUACAAGAGGAUGACACUUAAAAGAAAUACAAAAGAAAUUGCUAACACAGGACAACUUCAUAUUAGAAAAAAAAAAAAAA